rnacentral:rRNA from 1 species
AGUGAACGCUGGCGGCAGGCCUAAUACAUGCAAGUCGAACGGCAGCACGGCAGAGCUUGCUCUGUGGGUGGCGAGUGGCGGACGGGUGAGGAAUACAUGGGAAUCUGCCCAGUCGUGGGGGAUAACGUAGGGAAACUUACGCUAAUACCGCAUGCGCCCUUCGGGGAAAGCCGGGGACCUUCGGGCCUGGCGCGAUUGGAUGAGCCCAUGUCGGAUUAGCUAGUUGGCGGGGUAAUGGCCCACCAAGGCGACGAUCCGUAGCUGGUCUGAGAGGAUGAUCAGCCACACUGGAACUGAGACACGGUCCAGACUCCUACGGGAGGCAGCAGUAGGGAAUAUUGGACAAUGGGCGCAAGCCUGAUCCAGCCAUGCCGCGUGAGUGAAGAAGGCCCUCGGGUUGUAAAGCUCUUUUGUCCGGAAGAAAAGCGCCGGGUUAAUACCCUGGUGUCCUGACGGUACCGGAAGAAUAAGCACCGGCUAACUUCGUGCCAGCAGCCG